rnacentral:lncRNA from 1 species
GAAUGAAAUAUUACACUUUCCCUCUCCUCGUCAAGAAUAUUUCCUAAGAUUUAUUCUCUACGACCUUCUUCUUCUUCAGCUAACAGAGUAAUUCAGCUCAAUCACCAAGGCAGAGCUCCAGGUGAAUUCAACAGAAAAAGAUGGUUCUUCAAUCAUAGGUAAGCAAACGAAAGGGAGAUUUGGUUUAAAAGCAAACUUACCGUAAUAAGCAAAGAAAGUAGUGAGGAAAAAUAAAAUGAUGAUUAAUGAUGGUUCCUUUCAGGUACCCAUUUCACGUUUUUUAGUGUUUAAAACAUGAGUGGUUUAAAUUAAAGGCAAAUCCAAGAUUUAAACUUUAUGGCUUCUAUCUUUAAAUUUUUUAUCAUUGAACUUAAUAGAUUGAAAGAGGAGAUGGUGAUUGUGGUGCAAUCUGAAGAAGGUAGAGGUUGUAGUUGUGGUGAUUGUCAGAUCUGAAGACGGAGGAAGUGGUGGUAGUGAUAAUGGCCAGACUUGAAGAGAAGGGGUUGUAGCCGGAGAAGAAAAGGUAGCUAGUCACCAGCAAAAAUUAUUUUCAGGAAAAACUAAUCAUUUUCUGGCAGUAAUAUAAGUCUUAGGUUGUUCACACGCUUGGAAAAGGUGAUAAAAUUAUAUAGUUACGUGUCAGCAAAAUGUAUUUAAUUGUGUGCAACAUUAAAUGUUCAAUAAGUAAAGGUUACAGUUAAAGUGUCUAACUGAAAUUUUGUGACAAAUUUAAGGGUCGCCUAUGUAUUUGGCCUAGGAUUAAACUUGAGGCUUUUAAACUUGCUAUCAGAUUUGGGAAUUCAUAGUGCUUAGGAGACUAAUUUUCCAACCAACAUCCUUAAAAAUCCUAAUAAUUAAUCAUGAGACUAAUUAAGGCAUCACUCUCCCUAAUUCUUCCUUCCCUAUUGGUAGCUACCAGUAAUCAGGGUUCUUAACUCCUAAUAACCAGUUUGAAAAAUGACAAAAAAAGAUCUAAUAAUUAAAAGAGCAAGACAAAAUUUAGUCGUACUAUGCUUCAUUAAAAAGAUGUGUGAAUACUAUAUUUUCUUAGUAGUUUGGUGAAACAAUCCCAUCUCUUGCAAAACACACAAAAAAAAAAAAAAAUAAAAAAAGAAGACAAAUUAAAAAAAGAAUUAGCUGGUUCCCACGAUCCAUAUGGGUCAUCUUUUAAAGCCUUUUUUCGGUAAUUAAAUUUUAUUACCUGGGCAAAAGGUAUUUACAGUUAGAUACAAAAAAAAAACCUUAAAAACUGGAGAAUACUCCAACUUCAUUGGUCACCUAUCCAGAUUUUCCAGCUUAACAUUUUGCCUGAAGUUACUUUACACCAUAUCAUACACAAUAAUUUCUGACUAUAUUCUUAGGUGAACUGGAGAAAACUAUAUCUUCUUAGUAGUCUGCUUUGGUUUCAUAAUUCAUAUUCUUUUAUCUAUUUUGGAUAAAUUUCUAAGUAUCAUCAUUAAUUUUCUCAAUUUCAGUAUUGCUAACAAAAUUAUGUUUGGAAUUAGGAUAUUGAACUCCAAAUAGUUGUGCUAUCUCUAUCUCUUUUUUUGGAAAUAGGAAAAUUUUAUUCAUUACUGAGUACUAACGUUACACAAGGAUGUUGUCCCAUUGGGAUAACAGUUUAUGAUCCAAAAAUUAGAUAUAGGUUUUUAUACAAUCAAAUUUAUAGAAAAGAAGGGUUAAUCACAGCCAAUAUUAAUAUUUAAUAGCAGAUCUAGCACUUUUAUGGCGGAUAUUUAUUGUAUAGUAUUAGAUAUGAUUAUCUUGAAGCAAUGAUUCAGUAAAAUUCUAUAAACGUAAAAGAUAAUAAUAAAUGAUAAUAAAUGACUUUUGAGUAAUAAAUGAGACAGAAUUCACCUGACAAGGGUGGGAUCUUCAAAUAUGUUUUCUGACAGUGAUGAAUGAUGAUAAGCAGUUGAAUAUUUUGAUUCUUCUUGGAUCGGAAUAGAAGAGUCAAAGAAAAGAAGGUGUAAAGUUAGGCUUUGUUUCUAUCCAAUAAAACGAGUAUCUUGCACAGAGAAUGUUGAUGAUUUUCUUUACAAAAAGAUCUAAUCCCCUUUUUUCAUCCACAUCUUUUUCUAUUUAUAUAAACACAUAUGUUUCUAAUCUCUAGAUAGUACAACAGAAGAAAUAUAUAUUAGAAUAUUCUCUAGGUAAUCUAAAUCCUAAAGCUGGUCGUCACUUUGUAUAGAAAGCCAAUGCUCGUCCUCGUCCUCGUCUUUUGUUGAAUAGUUUUGAUUUUUGACCCCGACUUAUUUUCUGCAUCUGACCUCGACCUCUUGGAGUGAGGUUGACACGUCACAGCCUUCAAAGGCCCUAUUGCCGUUGAUCUGGUCAAAUAUCUAAGAUGAUGUUUUCGCCCUUAUAGUUAGUCCCUCCGCUUGCUGAGGUCAUCCUUAGGGACGAGCUUGAUAAGUAGAUAAUAGCGGGUGUGGUCAUCAUCAGAGGCGGAUGGCAUGGCAUUUUGUGAGUCAUAUGUUUCAAACUCUUGUCGUCUUAAUAUUCCCGGGUGAUUUUUGGAGAGAGCCUGACAUGGUAGAGAUGUGACAUCAUUCAUCAUGAUGACGUCUGUUCCUGAUGCGUCACGUCAAUACAUAGGUAGCUUGUGGAUUGGUUCUAACGUUUUGAUUGCGGCUGCCAUUGUGAUGCAUCGCUUCGAAUCCUGAGACUCCUCCUUUAUAAAUAGGGGGAUGAUCACCGCAAUUCGAAUUCUUUCUUUACUUCCAUUGCCAAAGCUUUCUUCAUCUCCUUCUUAGACUCUAUUUCUCUGUUCAUUACUCCUAAAGUUUUUCUCCAUUUUCUUAACUCUUUCCCUUCCUAAAUUCCCCAAACUUCACAAUCAUGUCUAACUUGUCUUCUAAUGUUUGGGGCGGAGAGGUUUUUUAUAUGAAGAGGAGAUUUCGGCUACCUCACUGGCUGUUGCAGCCUUCAUUCGCAGAGGAGACGCCACCACCGUCGUUGAAAUAGAAGCCCUUCUCUCAAUAGAAGAAAUUAUUCCUUUCAAUCCCGACGCGAAACUGGACUUGCAAUGGCAGCAAAUGGCGGUGAGUGAGGUUUUUCGAUCCUCUCUAACAACCAAGUAUUUGGCGGAGUUCAAGGAUAAGUAUGGCCUUCUUAACCAAGUGGAGCUUGUGUCGCCGGUGAUGAUGAAGUGUACACUCAUUGUCCGGCCCUCUUUGCCUACCCCUUCACCAUUGGAUAUUCAUUUCCUCUUCCCCCUUUGGUUGAGAAAUUGUGCCACUAUUACAGGGUCUGUCCGGCUUAACUCACGCCCUUGGUUUACAAGGUAAUCAAGAUACUGUCUAAAUCUGUCAAGCUGGAUGAUGUUGAGAUCACUAUAUGGCAUUUGGUGCACAUGUUCAUGCCCAACUUCUAUCGGGCACGAUGUUGAGCAUUCGACAUCGUAGAAGCAAAUCCCUGGUCAUUAAGAUUGACAACAAGUGCAGUCGACAAUUUUGGCUCGACUUCUUUUUUGUCAAGACCGAGUCCAUAGUGGUUGAUGUCACAAACUCUCGUGAGGCUUGGAAUCGUGACCGUAUGUAUCGCUUAUCCUUGUUCUCUCAUGCAGUUGUACAUUUCGACAUAAUGAGUUAACUCUUCUUGUUUUGCAGCUACUUCUUGGAGUCUUCAGUCGGUGGCGCACCUCGCCGACUGUGUCAGGCAGGUCCUCCCUUGUACUGCGGGGACCAGAGAUUGGUAUGGCUUUUGGUAGAAGUAUAAACUGGCUCCCCUCCCAAAAGAUAACAUUAAUGCAUUAUUUUCAAAUUUGUACUUGGUUUCAUUAUCUAAUUAUGUUUGUUUUCGUGUCCCCUUCCAGGCCCUGCCAAGGAGGCCACCAAGAGGAACUUGGAACCAACAUCUUCUUUCAGGAGAAGGAGGGGUGUUACCUCCUCUGCGCCUGCCUCCGAUUCGACCACUAUGAUAGUUCUUUCUUCAGCUCCUUCUCAAGUUGAAGAGGAAGAAAUUUCGUAGCACGACAUAGACUUGGGGCCUCGAAAGAGGAAGGCCAUAGAUGAGGCGCUGGUGUACUAGCAUCGGUUGACUAAUCUGAAGUCUCUCUUGAUAUCGAAGUGCAAAAUGCUAUGCCAGCCCGAGUCAAAGAACGUGCUGGGGCGGUCCCAGAGGUGCCUCAAGUGGAGGAAGCCGAUGUUGCGGCUUCUUUGUGACAUGAGGGGGGAUGAGGUCGCAUGGGGUUCUAAACAAAGAUACCAUACUUCCUGGGCGCGAGGAGGGUCCAUAUACUGAAUUGGCUCAGGAAACUUUCCCUAUUGAUAAGGGUAAAUACAAGAUGCCUGCCGAGCAGGGUGACAAGAAAAAUAAGCCCAUCAACGAUGAAUCCAUUUCUGAUUUCAACCCCGAAGAUCAUGAGAUGAUCUAAAGUGGGACGACUCAUAUCGAGGUAAAGGUACAAGGGGGGUUGAGAACCAUCACAAUCCUGAUAAAACACAACUGACUAAAGAACACCGAGGAUGUGGUUCAGGCUUUUUGUCCCUUAUGCUUGGAAACCAAGCACAGACUCUCAGGGAACUAAGUGACAACACUCUUUCCAGUAGAAUCGCCGCUUUCUCUUUCAGGGUAAGUCAUUUCCUUUCUCUCUCUUUCUCUUUUUUUUUGCUUUGGAUUUCUUUCGAUCCUUACCUUACUUGCCUUUUUUUCAUUCUCGUGUAGACCGUUAUUUUAGAGAUUGAGAGCGUGCAGAGAGAGAAAAGGAGGAUGGAGGUCCACCACAAAAUGCGGAAGAAGUAUGAGGAGUUUUGCGGGUGGUAUAGGGAGGCUGAGAGGCGGCUCCGUGAAAAGGGUGACGUACCCGCCCUAAGAGAGGAGCUGCGAAAGAAAGACAAAGAGUUGGUUGUGUCCGUGGAGCGGCUCAGCACUCUUGAAGGGGCAUUAAAGAGAAAGGACGAGGAGCUCGAGCUGAGCAGGGGCAUAGAAGCUCAAUUCCACGACCUUCAGGGUCGGGUCGACCAACUGCAAGGUCAGUUAAGUGAGUGCCAGUUCAAAGUGGAUGGGCUCUGGGGGAGGUAGCUGAAAAAUAGUAGCUAAUUGAUGAGGUUGAAUCCUCUCGUAAACAAGCUCGAAGAAGGGAUGCUCUUGUUGAGUUAGAGAAUAAAAGCCUCUGUGUUAACCGGGACAAUGUUCAGUCAAUGGCUGAAGCUAAGGAGGCUAGACUCAAGGAGAGGAAUGACGAGUUGGAGAGAGAGAACACCGAGAUGCUUGAGCGAAUUUCUGCUGCGGAAAAGCGAGAAGGAUGGACUAUUCGAACGACCUCCACUUUUCAUGCUAUGAUUUUUCGGCCAUUCCGUGAGGGUAGUAUGAGGAGUGGAUCCUUGCCGAGGUUUGAGUAGAGGUGGUUCGAGAGUUGGGUCAGACGAUCUUUGUCUUUGAGACGACCUUGAAGGAGGCUUGAGUUAAAGCUCGUGAGGCUCGGUUGGCGUGCAAUUACGACCCCGACAUGCCUCAGCCUGAUGCAGAGGAUGAUGAUGAAAGAGGCCUCCCUAAGCUUAAAGACAGCGCAUGGUGAGACUCCACUUACAACCGAGGCGAGGAUGAAUAGGGUGAUGGAGACCAAGGCAGUGACAAUCAUUAGACCUUCCGCCCUUGAUUUGUUUUAGCUUUUGUAAUUUGUACUUUUUCCUUCUCUCUCUUUUAGUUGGCGUAUUUGUGUGCCUUUGUAAAGACAACCUCUCUUAUCUUUGCAUAUUUUUGUUUUGGUGAUCGUGUGCUUUACUUUUGCACUUCUUUCCUUUGUUGAUGCCCUCAGGGUUGCGAUGAUCGCGUGGUUGGGAAGUUUUACUCAAGAGGGUUGAGUGGCCACAUGACGGGGAGUUUUAUUUAAGCUGAUUGAAUAUAUAUCUUUUUAGUUAAGGCGUGGCCAAGGGCCAAUAGGUUUUAUUCGAGCUGGUCCAACAUACUUUUUAGUUGAGAUGUGGCCAAGGGCCGAGAGUUUAUGUUCGAGCUGGUCGAACGUAUCUCUAUGUUAAGAUGUGGAUAGGGGCUGAGGAGUUUUUUUCGAGCUAAUCGAGUGUAUAUCUAAGUUGUGAUGUGGCCAGGGGCCGAGGAGUUUUGUUCGUGCUAAUCGAAUCAUACCUCUAAGUUGUGCCAUGGUGAGGGGCCGAGGAAUUUUGUUCAAGCUAGUCGAGUCAUACCUCUAAGUUAAGACGUGGACAGGGGCUGAGAAGUUUUGUUCGAGCUAGUCGAAUCAUACCUCUAAGUUGAGAGACUUAGGAGAGCAGUUUCUAUAAACAUGUAUCUCAUUUAUUUCAAUAACAUUGUAUUGAUUACAUCAUUUUGCCAGAGGCUUUUUGGAGAAAAUUACAAGUUUUGGGUACUGACUGGCACUUUAGUCCCAAUCCCAAUAUAUCUAGUCCCUUCAUUGUUCGACUCAGUGAUUUUUGAGCGUUCGGGCAAUCAAAUAUGGUUGUUCUCGCAUACUUCACCUUGAAAUGUCCUGUCCGCUACCUCGUUAAAAACCUCCUUGAGAAAACCCUGUGGGGACAAAACGCAAGUGAGGGAAAAAGAGUACAACUUACGCGACACUCCUUGUUUUUUAGAAGUUGAAGCAUUUGAGGUGGUUGAUGUUCCAAUUGUUCGAUAAGAGCUUUCCUUCCAAUGUCUCUAGUUGGAGUGAACCCUUGUAUGCCUUGCAUAUGAUUUUGUACAGUCUAUCCCAAUUGGAUACUAAUUUUCCUUCUCGGGGAUCUCUUCCUGCUUGGGUCUUGGCUUUGAGCAUGUAGUCCCCUAUCUUGAGUAAUUGUAAUUUGGCCUUUCUGUUGUAGUAGCAUUCUACUUGUUGUUUCUAUGCGACCAUUCAUACAUAUGCCAUGUCUCUCCAUUUUCCAACUUCAUCGAGGUCCUAUCUUUUGUUCUCGUCAUUGUCAUUACCACUCGGUUGUGUACCUUAGGCUGGGUUCUCCUACUUCGACCGGUAUGAAUGCUUCUAAUCUAGACUAAGGAGUAAGGUGUCUCUCUUGUACUCAUUUUUGGGGUUAUCCUAUGUGCCCACAACACUUCUAGAAGUGUCUUCGGCCACAUUCCCUUAGCAUCUUCGAAUCUCUUCUUCAGGAUGUUCAAAAUCGACUUGUUGGAGGAUUCUUCUUGCCUGUUGCCAGCGGGAUGGUACGAGGUUGAGAGUAUUCUUUUGACAUGCCACAUUUCGAGAAACUAGGUGGAUUUUCUCUCUGUGAAUUGGGGUCUGUUAUUGUAGCUUAUUUCUUUUGUAAUGACCCGGCCAGUCGUUUUGAGAGUUAGAGCCCUGAUCUCCUAUUAACUGCUUUCCCCGUAUCUUUUUCUACUAUUGUGACUUGCUGGGAAGAUUCGUUUUGAGUUUCGGAGUGUUUUGAGACACUUAGUCCCUAAAUGGAAUUUGAAUCUUAGAAUUUGAACCACAGUUAGAACUGUGUGAAGACGACUCUGGAAUGGAGUUCCCUCGAUUCCGUUAGCUCCAUUGGCUUAUUUUGGGCUUAGGGGCGUGUCCGGAUUGUGUUUUUGAGGUAUGUAGCUCAUUUAGGCUUGAAAUGGCGAAAGUCAAAUUUUUGGAGUUUUGGGCUGGUAGUGGAAAUUUUGCUAUAAAGGUCGGAAUCCGAUUCUGGAAGUUGAAAUAGGUCCAUAGUGUUGAAUAUGACUUGGGUGCCAAAUUUGGGAUUAAUUGGAUGUGGUUUGAUAGGUUCCGACAUCGGUACUGGAAACUUAAAGUUUCAAAUUUAUUAUGUUUGGAUUGGAGGGUAAUUUGUGUUUUUAGCAUUGUUUGAUGUGUUUUGAUGGCUCAACUAAGUUCAUAUGAUAUUUUAGGAUUGGUUGGUAUGUUUGGUUGAUGUCCCGGGGGCCUCGGGUGUGUUUCUGAUGCUCAACGAAUUGAUUUGGGACUUAUGCAAACUACUAAAGUUGUUGCACCUAGUGUUUUUUACCUACGCACUUUGGGGCCACCGGUGCGGAGCCGUAGAAGCGGAUAUGGGCCUGGUCCAGCUAGGUCCGCAGAUGUGGUGAGGGGUCCACAGAAGCUGAGGCGUAGAAGCUGUUGGGGACCGUAGAAGCGGACUCGCAGGUGCGGCCUAGAGCUCGCAGAUGCGGUACCAGCCCACUUAAGUUAAUUCCGCACCUGCGAUGUAAUUUCCGCAGGUGUGACGUUAGCAGGUGUGAAGAAGGGUCCGUAGGUGCGGUUUGACAGGCAGAAAAAGGGCAAAAUCAAGGGUAUGAUUUCAUUCUCCAUUUUUGGGCUUAGAGAGCUCGGAUUGAGGCGAAAUUUCGAGGGAUUUUCAGAGGAAGCUUGUGGGUAACGAUUCCUUACUUGAUUUUGGUUGUAUUUCAUUAUUGUUUUCUUCAUUUAAUCAAGGAAUUUGGGUGAGAAAGUUGGGAAAUGGGGAAAAAAUUCCCCAAUCAAAUUUUUGAGUUUUGAGUGGGAUUUUGACAUCAGAUUUGGAUAAUUUUCAGUACGAGUGAGCUCGUGAGUGAAUGGGUGUUCAUAAUUUGUGACUUUUACCCGAUUCUGAGGCGUGGGCUCGGGAAGGCUUUUUGGGCGUUUUUCUAAUUUCUUGCCUUAGCUUUGAUUUCGUUAGCUAGAUUAGUUUCUUGUAGCUAUAUUUAUGUUAUGUAAUUGGUUUUGGCUAGGUUUGGGCCAUCCAGAGGCGGAUAUUCGUAGAAAGAGCAUUAUUACGGAUUGAUUUGAGCUCGGUUCGAGGUAAGUGGCUUGCCUAACUUUGUGUGGGGAAACUCCCCUUAGGAUUUGAUAUUGUUUGAUAUAUGAGCGCCAUGUACGUAAGGUGACAAGUAUGUACACAUGCUAUUUAAUAAAACUUCGUUUUCACUAAGUCAUAACCUUUUUUCUCCUUGUUUGAACUACAAUAGAAUACGUAAAUACCUUGUUUAGAUUAGAAAAGCAUGCCAUCGUAUUUUAAACACCUAUUUAAACUCUCUGCAACAUGUUUAGUGAAAUUACUUGUUUUCUUUGAUGUGAACUUAGCCUAAACUGUAGGUCUCCUUGCUGUAACUGUUGGUUAUAUUGCUUGAGCUACAUAUUUACUUUGGGACUACAGAAUGGUAUUCCGGGAGAUCCCCCUGUACUGUAAUUUACUUUGGGACCGCGGAACGGUAUUUUGGGAGAUGCCCCUAUACUGCAUAGUUACUUUGGGACUACAGAACAGUAUUCCGGAGAUCCCCAGUACUGCAUAUUUACUUUGGGAUUACGGAACGGUAUUGCGAGAGAUCCCCUUGCACAUUUAUGUUUGGGACUACGGGACGGUAUUCUGGGAGACCCCCUGUUGCUAUAACUGUGUUCUGAGCUGUUGACUUUCAUUGAAUUUUAUUCCUGUUAGAUUUUCGUACUUAUUUUUCUGUAAUAUUUUCUUUCUUUCUUAUUUCAUUAUAUUUAUACUAGUAGGGCUCUGACCUGAUCUCGUCACUACUCGACCGAGGUUAGUCUUGGCACUUACUGGGUACCGUUGUGGUAUACUCAUGCCCUUUCCUGCACAUGCUUUCCGUGUGCUGAUCCAGGUACUAGCUAUCAGCCUCGAGUCUAGUUGUGUGGUUGCUGCUUCAUGAGACUUCAAGGUACAUCUUCCCGCAUCCGUAGACCUCAAAGUCCCCUUCUAUCCCCUAUGUUCGUUUUAUUUUUUUCCUUAGAAAUGAUGUAUAGAACAGUUAGGACUUCUUAGAAGCUUGUGACAUUGCGAAAUUCUGGGUUUUGGGAAAGAUGAUUAUUGUGUAUGCCGAGUGGCACCGUUUCUGCUUAUUUAUUUUAUCUGUUAGCUG